ensembl:lincRNA
CAGGCGGCCACCGUGGCGCAGGCGCGCGCCUGUCGGCUUUGCUGGGCUCGCUCGGUCUGAGAGUCGGAGGCUGCAGGUUCUGCUGCUGAAGACUGUGGUGGACCCGGCCGGAGCCGGAUAGCUGAUUCUGGUCUAGAAAGCAGAUUUGGGAUCGCAGAUUGGAGGUUGGCGCCAGGUGGGGUGGGAGGAGCCGCGGCUCAGGAGCUGGUUGUUGGGGAGAAGAAGUCACCACCUUGAAGAAGUUCCUCCGCUUCGGGAGCCAGGGACCAAGGCAGAGCAGAACCUCAGGUCCUGGGCUCCAUAGACCCCGUCUACACCGCUUCCGGGCACCGAAUCUGGGACGCGGAACAGCGGAAGAUCCGCACGGUGGCUUUCAGGGGCGACGCCGCGGAGGUGGAGCUGCCUGGCGCGCAGGAGCGGAGACCUGGACACCAGGGACAAGCCGCACAGAUCCUGGGAGUUCUGGUGAAUCUACAGUCAGCCUACCACUGAAAUGGAAUAUCCUGUUGUGAGAGAAGCAGUACAAAGAAAGAAUGUACAGACAUCGAGAGCAGGUGCAUUUUCAAUAUAAAUGGAAUGCUGGAAGUAAGUACAUUAAAUGAUUGGAAGUACUCACAUUCUUCUUAACCCUAAUUCUUUUUAUUCUAAAUUGAAUGAAAGGCAUUGACAUAAAUGUUAUUGUUGGUAUCCAUAUUUCAAUAAAAAUAAAUUUAGGAGUAUAAGAAAACGAGUUUAAAAAUAUGAGUUUUAACUCAGAUGUUUCUAUUUUAAUAUUUUGAAUAGCGUAAUAUUUCCAGUAUAGAAUUUUUAUACUUGUCAGGGAUUCAAAGCAGUGAAUUUUGAGACUCUGAGAUAUUUCCAGUGUCGUAUAUGCUAGGCGGAGUUCUGAUAUUUACUUAAAGGAAUACUUUACUUAGAUGUCAGUUUCUGUAUUAACGUUAUUGACUUCCUGUUAAUGUUAUUACACUGAUUAUCUGAAGCCAAUGAGAUGUUCUAACGAGCAGACUGUGUCUGCAUGUGUGUGUAUGAGUGUGUGUAUGGGUGUGUUUCUGACAUCUCUGAUUACUAAAAACUAGAAAAGUAAUCAUUCAUUCAUAACUGGAAUACAGUCUUUUAAAAUAGUGGUUUUGAGACAUUUUGGUGUAAAAUUAAAAAAAAAAAAUAAUUGCAUAGAGGCAACCAACAUCAUUGGCUGUUUUCCAUUUCAAUACCCUUUUGAAAUCCUUAACUGUAUUACAAUGCUCAGAAAUAAUAUGCAGAAUUUUUGUGUCUUAAAAUGGAAGGUGAGUGGUUCUACGCUUUACAUAUCUUUCUGCCACUUUCUUUUGUGUACUUUGCAUUCUAUUUUCCAGAUGUAUCUACAUUGAUACAAUUAGCUCUGGCUUAAUUCAUUUUACACUUUUUAUUGUAUUCCCUUAUACCACUCUACCACAUUUAAUUAGACUCUCCUGUUGCUGAUAAAUGGAAAAAAAAAGAAAAAGAAAAAUAGGCUGGGCGUGGUGGCUCACACCUGUAAUCCUAGCACUUUGGGAGGCUGAAGUGGGUGGUUUACGAGGUCAGGAGAUCAAGACCAUCCUGGCCAACAUGGUGAAACCCCAUCGCUAUUAAAAUAUAAAAAAUUAGCUGGACAUGGUGGCAUGUGCCUGUAGUCCCAGCUAUUUGGGAGGCUGAGACACAGAAAUCGCUUGAACCCAGGAGGCAGAGGUUGCAGUGAGCCAAAAUUGCACCACUGCACUCCAGUCUGGCAGCAGAGCAAGACUCUGUCUCAAACAAAAAAAGAAAAGGAAAAAUAAUGUAAGAUGAAAAGGGCCUUUUGUUUAAUCAAUUUGUAUCUGUGAAUAUUUGAGAGUUUAAGGCUGAGAAGUUCAGAAUGCAAGCAUGCACCACCAUAUUUUACGAAUGCCCUUAGCAUUAUGACACCAACAGUCAGUGAUUAAUUAGUGAUGCCUAUGUAUUGAAGCUUGCAUAAAGUCCCAAAGGGACUGGGCUGGGAGAGCUUCCAGAUCGAUGAAUACAUGGAGGUUCCUGGAGGGUGGGGUGUUCUGAGAGGGCAUGGAAUCUCUGUGCCACUAGGCCCAU